AAGCGAGCGUAGGUGGCUUGAUAAGUCAGAUGUGAAAUCCCCGGGCUUAACCUGGGAACUGCAUCUGAAACUGUUAGGCUAGAGUAGGUGAGAGGGAAGUAGAAUUUCAGGUGUAGCGGUGAAAUGCGUAGAGAUCUGAAGGAAUACCGAUGGCGAAGGCAGCUUCCUGGCAUCAUACUGACACUGAGGCUCGAAAGCGUGGGUAGCAAACAGGAUUAGAUACCCUGGUAGUCCACGCCGUAAACGAUGUCUACUAGUCGUUGGGUCCCUUGAGGACUUAGUGACGCAGCUAACGCAAUAAGUAGACCGCCUGGGGAGUACGGCCGCAAGGUUAAAACUCAAAUGAAUUGACGGGGGCCCGCACAAGCGGUGGAGCAUGUGGUUUAAUUCGAUGCAACGCGAAGAACCUUACCUGGUCUUGACAUAUCUAGAAUCCUGCAGAGAUGCGGGAGUGCCUUCGGGAAUUAGAAUACAGGUGCUGCAUGGCUGUCGUCAGCUCGUGUCGUGAGAUGUUGGGUUAAGUCCCGCAACGAGCGCAACCCUUGUCCUUAGUUACCAGCGGGUUAAGCCGGGAACUCUAAGGAUACUGCCAGUGACAAACUGGAGGAAGGCGGGGACGACGUCAAGUCAUCAUGGCCCUUACGACCAGGGCUACACACGUGCUACAAUGGUAGGUACAGAGGGCAGCUACACAGCGAUGUGAUGCGAAUCUCAAAAAGCCUAUCGUAGUCCAGAUUGGAGUCUGCAACUCGACUCCAUGAAGUAGGAAUCGCUAGUAAUCGCGGAUCAGAAUGCCGCGGUGAAUACGUUCCCGGGCCUUGUACACACCGCCCGUCACACCAUGGGAGUUGAUUGCACCAGAAGUGGAUAGCUUAACCGUAAGGGGAGCUUCCCCCCGGGUGC
rnacentral:rRNA from 1 species